GAGCCAGGCACAGCCCCCCGAGGGGGCGGCCUGCUGGUCUUUCAUUUCACUUGGUUCCUAUUAAGCAGUCAUUCAUGAUGCUUUGCAACAAGAGGUUGGUUAAACUCAGCACACUGGGGACCAGUCUGUCACUUGGGGGCUCCUUAGGCCCCUGGGACAGAAUGGGGCACAAAAGGAAGGAUUGUAUGAGCUCGUUUCUUUUUUUGGUUUGGCCCUGUUGUUUUUUUUUUUUCUUCAUGCUUGACAUAACUCCCAGUAUUACCAUUCCUGACUAUGUACAUGUAUGAGAAUAUAUCUUAUUUAUUUUUGUGGAGGUGACCUACUUUCACACGUCCGUGUCUACUCCUAGCAGAAACAAAUACCUCAAUUUUUUGUUCUGUUUUCUGUGUGUCUAGUGGAUUGUCGUGUACAUAGAUCUGAAGCAGGUUGGUUUGCAGCACUGAUGGCAAACACCAGUGUGGUUGUUUGUUUGUUUGUUUGUUUUUAAGUUGCCAACAGUUGUAUGUUUGCUGAUUAUUUAUGACCGGAAAUAAUAUAUUUCUUCUUCUGAGAAGACAUUUUUUGGUAUAUAAUAAGGAUGACCUUUUUUUUAUACAACAGAAUAAAUUAUGGCAUUUCUAUUGAAA